rnacentral:rRNA from 1 species
UAGGGAAUAUUAGUAAUGGGCGAAAGCCUGAACUAGCAACGCCGCGUGUGCGAAGAAGGCCUUCGGGUUGUAAAGCACUUUUUGAGAGGAUGAGGAAGGACGGUACUCUCGGAAUAAGUCUCGGCUAACUACGUGCCAGCAGCCGCGGUAACACGUAGGAGGCGAACGUUAUCCGGAUUUACUGGGCGUAAAGCGCGUGUAGGUGGUUUGGUAAGUAGGGCGUGAAAGCUCCUGGCUCAACUGGGAGAGGCCGUUCUAAACUGCCGAACUAGAGGAUGGUAGAGGGAGGUGGAAUUACGGGUGUAGCGGUGGAAUGCGCAGAUAUCCGGAGGAACACCAGUGGCGAAAGCGGCCUCCUGGACCACUCCUGACACUCAGACGCGAAAGCUAGGGUAGCAAACGG